rnacentral:tRNA from 1 species
GCCGCUGUGGUGAAAUGGUAGACACGGGGGACUUAAAAUCCCCUGCCUCCUUACCGGGGCAUGCUGGUUCGAGUCCGGCCGGCGGCA